AAAUGUUAUUUAGAACCUCCGUGGCCCACACGCUGACUUAGUUCAGGGUGGGCUUCCGUCUUCAUGAGGAAAAGCAGUGAAAUGGAGCCGCGGGGCGGCGAUUUGGGGCGGAGGGACGGACCCCAGGCCGGGCCCUGGGUCCCGGGCGCCUCGGGCAAGCGCCCGCCCCUCCUCCGACCUGAGUCACGGCCGAGGCCCCACGCGGCGGGGAUGCGGCGCUGAACGCGGGCUCGGGACGCCAGGCCGCAGGCGCGCUCUCCUCGUGGGGCCCGCAGGCCCGCUGUGCCCGGCCCGCCUCCCGGGCUCCGGACCUCUCGGCCGGCGGCGGCGCCGCGGAACCCGAGCUGGAGCCGCGCGCCCCGCCCGCCCUCCAUGGCGUUCACCCGGAAGAGGCAGCGCGAGCAGCAGCUGCAGCUCUACUCCAGGGAGAGAUUUUCCUUGCUUCUGCUUAACUUGGAGGAGUACUACUUUGAACAGCACACGGCUCAUCACAUUCAGCACAAGGGCAGCCAGAAGGAAAGGAAAAUCAGAGGCUCCUUAAAAAUAUGUUCAAAAUCAGUUAUUUUUGAACCGGAUGCAAUAUCCCAACCCAUCAUUAAGAUUCCUUUGAGGGAUUGUAUAAAAAUAGGAAGACAUGGAGAAAAUGAAGCCAGUAGACACUUUGCAAAGACAGUAUCUGGGGCGAUUUCACUCAUUUUCAGCCAGGUGUAUUUCAUUAAAGAACACAACAUUGUUGCACCAUAUAAAAUAGAAAGGGGCACGAUGGAGUAUGUCUUUGAGCUGGACGUUUCAGGGAAAGUGGAAGAUGUUGUGGAGACACUGCUUCAACUUCAUAGAGCAUCCUGUCUGGACAAACUGGGGGACCAAACUGCCAUGAUAACAGCUAUCUUGCAGUCCCGUUUGGCUAGGACGUCAUUCGACAAAAACAGGUUCCAAAGUGUUUCUGAAAAGCUGCACAUGGAAUGCAAAGCAGAAAUGGUGACACCGCUGGUGACGAACCCUGGCCACGCCUGCGUCACUGACAGCACCCUCUAUUUCCAGCCUCUCAACGGGUACCCGAAACCCGUGGUCCAGAUAAUGCUCCAGGACAUCCGCCGCAUUUACAAGAGGAGACACGGCCUCAUGCCUCUGGGCUUGGAAGUGUUUUGCACAGAAGAUGACCUGUGUUCCGACAUCUACCUGAAGUUCUAUGAACGUCAGGACCGAGACGACCUCUACUUUUACAUCGCUACGUACCUAGAGCACCACGUGCCGGAGCGCACGGCCGAGGGCUACACGUUGCAGUGGCAGCGCGGCCUCCUGUCCAACUACCAGUACCUGCUGCACCUCAACUCGCUGGCCGACCGCAGCUGCAGCGACCUCUCCCAGUACCCCGUGUUCCCCUGGGUCGUCGGCGACUACAGCAGCUCCGAGCUGGAUCUGUCAAAUCCAGAGACCUUCCGGGAUCUCAGUAAGCCAGUAGGGGCCCUCAACCAGGAGCGUCUGGAGAGGCUGCUGACCCGCUACCAGGAGAUGCCGGAGCCCAGGUUCAUGUACGGCAGCCACUACUCCUCCCCAGGCUACGUGCUCUUCUACCUGGUCCGAAUCGCGCCAGAGUACAUGCUGUGCCUGCAGAAUGGAAGGUUCGACAACGCAGACAGAAUGUUCAACAGUAUUGCAGAAACUUGGAAAAACUGUUUGGAUGGUGCAACCGAUUUUAAAGAGCUGAUCCCGGAAUUCUACGGUGAUGAUGUCAGCUUUUUAGUCAACAGUCUGAAGUUGGAUUUGGGGAAGAGACAAGGAGGGCAACUGGUUAACGACGUAGAGCUCCCGCCUUGGGCACGGAGUCCCGAGGAUUUUCUCCGGAAGAGCAGAGCCGCGCUGGAGAGUGAGUAUGUGUCCGAGCACCUGCAUGAGUGGAUCGACCUGGUGUUUGGCUACAAGCAGCAGGGCCGGGAUGCCGUCGGAGCCCAUAAUGUGUUUCAUCCGCUGACCUAUGAAGGAGGUGUGGACUUGAACAGCAUCGAGGAUCCUGACGAGAAGGUCGCCAUGCUCACCCAGAUCUUAGAGUUUGGACAGACACCCAGACAGCUCUUUGUGACACCCCAUCCUCGAAGAAUCACCCCAAAGUUUAAAAACGUGUCCCAGCCCUCCAGUUACAAUGCCUCCACGGCAGAUUCUCCAGUCUCUCUAGGUGAAGAGUCUUUUGAAGACCUGACAGAAGAGAGCAGAACCCUGGCCUGGAGUAACAUUGCCCGGCUAGAGCCCCAGGAGCAGCACAGAAUCCACAAAGAGGCAGUCACUGGAAUAGCCGUGUCCCGCAAUGGGUCGUCCAUCUUCACAACCUCACAAGAUUCCACCUUGAAGAUGUUUUCCAAAGAAUCCAGGAUGCUACAGAGAAGCAUAUCAUUCUCAAAUAUGGCUUUAUCAUCCUGUUUGCUUUUACCAGGAGACGCCACUGUCAUAAGCUCUUCCUGGGAUAAUAACGUCUAUUUUUAUUCCAUAGCAUUUGGAAGAUGCCAGGACACAUUAAUGGGACAUGACGAUGCUGUUAGUAAGAUCUGUUGGCAUGACAACAGGCUGUAUUCUGCAUCGUGGGACUCUACUGUGAAGGUGUGGUCCGGGGUCCCCGCGGAGAUGCCGUGUGCCAGGAAACAGCACUUUGAGCUGCUGGCUGAGCUGGAGCACGACGUCAGCGUGGAUACGAUCAGUUUGAACGCUGCCGGCACCCUGCUGGCCUCAGGCACCAAGGAAGGCACAGUGACCAUCUGGGACCUCACCACGGCCACCCUGUUACACCAGAUUCCAUGUCAUGAGGGGACUGUAGGCGACACUGCUUUCAGCCCAGACAGUCGCCACAUCCUGAGCACAGGAGCCAACAGUCAUCUGAACGUUAUCGACGUGCAGACAGGAAUGCUCAUCUCUUCUCUGACUGCAGACGAGCCCCAGAGGUGCUUUCUCUGGGAUGGAAACUCCGUCGUAUCUGGGAGUCAGUCUGGGGAGCUGCUCAUCUGGGACCUCCUUGGGGGAAGGGUCAGCAAGAGGAUCCAGGGCCACUCAGAAAACCAUCCUUAGUACUGUAUAAUCCUGUACUUCUGGAACUAUCUUCAGAGCCAAGUCCAGACACAUAAUGAGGAACAUCAUCACUGAAAAACCUGAGUUGGUUGGCUUUUCUGAAUUCCACACAAGAUAAGCCAUGAAUCAGUAGCACUGAUUUAUUUUGUAUUCAACCUCUGAACCACAGAAAGCAUGCGAGGUAGAUACUGAAAGGACUGUGCUGGCUGAGCCAGGACAGAACGUAAGAUGCUACCGGACAGACAGCCCCAGCCACCCCUGUUUUAUUCUCUCUCCUCAGCUUCCAGCCCUCACUCCUGAGAACUUCCAAAAUGUAAAUAAUUUAAAUACUUCAAAUGUCUAAAUAAUGCCAAUGUCAUCCACUAAAGAACCAAAGGUUUGAGAAGCUUGAGAAUUAAAGAAGUACAGAGACUCUAUGAAAUCACAUGAGCACAGAAUCAAGUCAAAGAAUUCUCUACUUACCGUUUAAUAAUGUGUUCAAAGAUAAAAGCAGGCAUGAUUGUAAUAGUAACUAUAUUUCCAGCUGUGGACAAUAUGUCUGCGAUUUGAGAGUCCUGUUGAAAACAACGAAAAUUCUGAGAGACUUUAUUAAAUAUAAAACUAAGUUAUUCUUGGUAAAGAAAUAUAUAUGUUCUGAGGUUUUGCUAAUGUCUCUAAAAUCCUGACUCCUGGUAUUUAAGUUUUUUCCAGUUUCUUUACCAAGUUUUAAUUCAUUAGAAUCACAACUUCAUCAGUGGUAACAAAAUUCAGUAAACUACGUUGAAUAUAUUAGCCAAAACAAAGCAUUCUUUUUCUAGAGAUUAAAUAAUUGCCCCCAUAUACAAUAUUACCACAUCCCCUCUGCUAACAUUAAUUCUUAAUGAAAACCUUUAGACCUCAAAAUAGUUCUAUUUAGGAAUUUGUAGAGGGCAUAAAAAAUGUAGUACUAAUUUGACCAUAAACUAUUACUCAUUUCCUACAACCCCUGGACUGAAAAAAGCAAUUGGACAAAAAAGCAACCAUUCAUUCAGAAUCUCACCAACAUCUUCACUGCCCAGGUCUUCACAGAAUUCUAGUUCAAGGGACUUCAGAGAUCUCACCCAUACAGAGGCCACAAUUCUAGAGGUAACAUGAGGGCACAGCCAGCGCCCCAAAGAAUGUCUCAUUUUGGUCAAUAACAGCACCACCCCAACAAGACAAAUGAAAAAGAGACUUCUAAAACUAAACAAUAUGAUGUAAGUUCUGCUCUGACCUUCAGUCCGAUGACGUUCUGUCCGUUGACCUCACAGAUGUUAUGUUCCGUGAGAAGACCGUUUCUAGCUGCAGAACUGUCUUUCACAAUGGAUGUGAUUUUUCCAUUUUUAAAAACAAAGCCAACAUGUCCAGUACUGUCCUUAUGCAUGGUAAUUGUCCGUUCAAAGGGCCUGUGAGCAUAACAGUUUCAAUUAAAAUUGUAAUUCCAAGGUAAACAUUUCAAUGGAUUUCCACUAUGUUGUACUGGAUACUUUGUUAUCAUAAAUUAUUUCAAAACUAUUUUACUUGGUAUGUACAUCUUGUGUAAAAGUGUAAAAAUUCUCUCCAUUAUGGCUGGACUAACUAAUCAAGAUUUCCUUCUUUUAAGUAUCAAAGAAUUAACACAAUGCUUCAUGCAGUUUAUCAAUGUGCUUUUUCCUUUAACAUUACGUUUGAACAAAAAUCAGUGUUAAAAAUGAAUUAACUUUUUAGUAUUUCCUGGAGCUUAAUUUUUCUUAGGAAAUACUUAGAACCUUUAUAAUAUUUCUCACAUCUUGAUUUUGAAAACUUUACAAUGGUAUUUUUGCUGCAGCAGCAGCAGCAAGACGGAAGCCCCCAGUCCCUUAGAAAGGGAGGAGCUUCAGAAAGAUGGCGUCUGCUCUGAGCACUGACAACCUGUUACUGCACACGUUUCAUGACAAAAUACGAAUUUUACAUUAUGAAGUUCACAGCAGUCAUGUCUUCCUGGUGAUCCAAGUUACUUUUUGAAACUUUGCUCACGUAAGAGCAAAAGUGCCAUUUGUCUGCAAAAUGUUUACUUAAUACCUACCAUGUAUUAUUCAAAGUGAAAACACAAAGGUAGAUAAAAGCCAGUUGAACCAAUAUGAACAAAAAUGCCAAAGCUAAAAAUGUGUUACAAGGUCUGCCCUUCAACCCCUGCGUGGCCGAGAAGGCGGUGGUGUCCGUAGUACAGGUACCGCAAGCUCCAUUAUAAACGAGCUAAAGAUGCUGUUCCCACCAAGGACUACAGCCUCAGCCACCCAGAAGGCCAGGCUGGUUUUUGGAACUGGUUGGCCCCCAUGUAUCCACCCUGAGCAGGAAACCGGGGGCAAAGUCCAGACACCUGUUGCUGUUACCUUUCUAACCUCUUCUAUUUUCCAGAGAAACAGAUUAAGACAGGAAAGGAACUUCUCAAAGCACAAAUUUCUGUAAGCUCUGAAUUAAGGUGUAUGCAAAACCAGAAUACUGUUUUUAAAAAGUCAAACUAUGUAAGAAAGUGAAAGCAACACAGAACUGCAAGAGUAUAAAUAUAAAACUAAUCAAUAACA